rnacentral:rRNA from 1 species
UAGGGAAUCUUCCGCAAUGGACGCAAGUCUGACGGAGCAACGCCGCGUGAGUGAAGAAGGAUUUCGGCUCGUAAAACUCUGUUGUUAGAGAAGAACAGCGCAUAGAGUAACUGUUAUGCGUGUGACGGUAUCUAACCAGAAAGCCACGGCUAACUACGUGCCAGCAGCCGCGGUAAUACGUAGGUGGCAAGCGUUGUCCGGAUUUAUUGGGCGUAAAGCGAGCGCAGGCGGUCAAUUAAGUCUGAUGUGAAAGCCCCCGGCUCAACCGGGGAGGGUCAGUGGAAACUGGUUGACUUGAGUGCAGAAGAGGAGGGUGGAAUUCCAUGUGUAGCGGUGAAAUGCGUAGAUAUAUGGAGGAACACCAGUGGCGAAGGCGACUCUCUGGUCUGUAACUGACGCUGAGGCUCGAAAGCGUGGGUAGCAAACAGG